rnacentral:rRNA from 1 species
AUGGCAAGCCCACAGAUACACGCCAAUCCGACGUAUGAGAUCGACAGGGCUCGAGACUCUCAGGUUUUGAGUUUCCUUUUUAAUUCCAUCUCACCUCCUGUGAUGGUUCAGAUCGCAAAUGGCAUCACGGUGUCAGCAGCAUGGACUGCAAUCACCGAGAUGUUCAUCUCCGAGACGCAGGCGGCCAUCGUCAACACGAGGAUCGCCCUCUCCACCACCAAGAAGGGGACUUCCACCAUCGCCGAGUAUCUUGGCCGCAUGAAGGCCCUUGGUGAUGAGAUGGCUGCCAUCGGCAAGCCACUCACCGACGACGACAUGGUGUCGUACAUCCUCGCCGGCCUUGACUUCGACUACAUGUCGUUUGUCUCCUCGGUCUGCGCCAGGACUGUCCCCAUCAAGCCAAACGAGCUCUACUCCCAGCUGAUCAGCUUCAAGAGCCGCCUAGUAUGUUCGAGGGGAACUCAUCUUCACACUCCUCCGCCAACGCUGCCUCUCGCGGCCGUGGUGGCUUUCCUCGUGGCGGCGGCCGCGGCAGGAACGGCAGAGGUCGUGGUCACGGUGGUGGCCGCGGCAAUGGAGGCAAUGGUGGCGGCCGUGGAAACGGCCACAGUGGCCGCGACAAUGGAGGUGGCGGCCGUGACGAGAUCCCGGAAGCCUUCUGUCAGAUCUGCAAGAAGCCAAAUCACACUGCCCUCGAGUGCUAUCGUCGCUUCGACAUCGCCUUCACCAAGGAGAAAAGCGCAAGCGUAG